UACGUAGGGUGCGAGCGUUAAUCGGAAUUACUGGGCGUAAAGGGCGCGUAGGCGGCAUGGCAAGUCGGGAGUGAAAUCCCCGGGCUCAACCCGGGAACUGCGUCCGAUACUGGGAGGCUUGAAUCCGGGAGAGGGAUGUGGAAUUCCAGGUGUAGCGGUGAAAUGCGUAGAUAUCUGGAGGAACACCGGUGGCGAAGGCGGCAUCCUGGACCGGUAUUGACGCUGAGGCGCGAAAGCCAGGGGAGCAAACGGG
rnacentral:rRNA from 1 species